CGUGCUGGCACAUGAACACAUGGACUCAGAUGGACCUCAUAUCUUUACCUCCUUAACUCAAAGUAACGUUACGAGUUGUAUGAACACUGCUUGCUUCAUGAUAAGACAGCAGCCGUUCAACAGGGCCUUGUAAGGUUAGUGAAUAGUGUGUUUAUUAAAGGACAAGCUCUGUGGAAUUCCCAGUACCAGUGUUGUUGUGGGCUGAGUGGUCCUCUCAACCACUGAAUACAACCCACGUUACAGUAUUCUUUAUGUUAUUCUCUGAACUGACAUUUUUAAAUAAAACUUUCCUUAUACCAGCCCCUCGUGGCUUACUGCCAGCCACAGACUUGCUGUUAAUUCAAGUGGGAGGGAAAAAGUAGAUGAUGAGGAAAAGUUGGCACAGUACUGUAUAAAACUAGGUGUUGGUGUGAGGGAGAGCAACAUGUUGCGUACUUCUGAGGAGCCUCUAAUGUUUUUUUAGCUGCUGUACAUGUAAUCCUUUCCUGGCUGCAGUGAAAUCCUUACAUAUAGUUCUAAGUUUAAAGUCUGUGAAGUUUCAGGUCUAGCUCAACAUUGGCAGCUGCCUCGGUUUUUGAUUAAUGCUGGACAGAAUGCCAGGACAUAUCGGCAUAUGGUUGUCUUUUGGCAUACUGUGGCCACUUCUGCUGGCUGUCGGCGCAAUUGAAUGUUCAGAAAAAGAAACACUGAUCAACCCGCUUCCCAGGAGGGUGAUACAACCAAGUGACUGUUUAAUGGAGUGUACUGGGAUGACAUACAUCAAAAAAUUGCAGCUUCAGGACAAUCAUAAUAUUCGGCUGUCAGACUCAACUGAAGGAGACCUCGGGGAAUACUGUUGGCCUACUGACCUCAAGUGCAACAUUGGUGAGAGCUUUUUGCAUGCCUACGCGGUAUUGCCUGUGGAUAUAUCUGCUGUGGGACAUGAGCAACUGGAGGUCAAAGCCACUGCUCCAGCUGCCACUACACUACACGCACAUAACAGCCCUACAACAAUCGCAGAGAGCUGCGGCCUUCGUUACGACGUCACACAGCAUUUCAGCACACAGAACGCUGGGACAUCGCUCUGCAUCCAGGUUUCUACCCAGGAAGAUGCUCUGGGGGACACGGUUCUUAAAUGUCCUCCAUAUCUGGUCACCUUCUGGCAAAGAAGUCCAAAUCAGCGCCAACAACAAAGUGCUGGAUAAAAUAUCAGAGGUAGAGGUAUCCAGAUCUUUUAAGUAAAACCACCAAUUAGGAUAUUAAAUAAUAUGAAAGGUCCUGCAUUUUUAGACAUUUUAAUGGAAGUAUUAGAUGCAAAUGUACAGAAUGAAUAAAAAAAAAGAACAGUCCCUUUGUCAGAAAGGAGAUGGAGCUCUCUCUAUAACUUAUGGUGAUUUUCUUUAAAAAUUGGCAUCGUUUGCUUUUCAUUAAUUUAAAGCUGCCACAUACCCACGGGGGUUAGUAUAAAAUUGUCACACAGCUUGUUUUUUUUUUAUCUAGCUAAUUUGAUCAUACCUGGAAGCUGGAAGUGUUACAUUCUUAUUGCUUAUAUAAACGCUUUAGACAUUUUACUUUAUUUGUUCUUUUCAUACUUUGUAUGUUAAAAGCUUACUUUCUAAGGUAUCUAGUAAGUAAACCUUUCAGACUCAUAGAAUAGAAUACAAUGUUCACUAUUUCCUUGUGAGCUAUUUUGAAGCAACAAGUAACAAGUGUGUUUGGAAGUGGUUGUAAUUUAUACUUAAGUGGCCAACAGCAAUAAGGAAAAUCUAUUGUGGGUCUCCAAGGUCCAAUAAUAAAAUAGGGUAUCAGAGAUGCUAGCAAUGGAUGGUUAUGCUUGGAUUGUAAUUCAGGGGUAAGGCUGGGGCAGAAAAGAUUAAUAACUGUAAUUUCUCUAUAUUCUUAAGCAAGUUUAGAUUUAUUCUCUAGUGCUCUCAGUGUGCUUUUAAAUCCCUUACCUGAGUGAACAGAAAAUGACAGUGAGGUCCACAAGUUCACUAAACUUGGAAAGCCAUGUGAGUGAUAGUAACGAUAUUAUUUACUAUUCUGACAAAAUGCAUUUAAUGCACUUGCUAUGAUCAGUGAAGCUGUAUACUACAUUCUUUCAGAAAUAUGUGUUAAGAUGAUGAUCAAGCAUAUGAGCAUGAUGACGUGGGUAUUAUGAACAUUAUAUGGCACAUAUACUUGUAUUAUCCACAAUAAUAUUCUUUUGAUAUAUUUUUGGUUUAUGUGACUUCAGUUGUAAGGGUGUUUCGUGGCACUUUGGCUAAAAGGAGCAGAUGGGGAAUGAUUUUAGAUGUGUCAAGCACUCUGAAACUUUCAGGGCAAACUUGUUGCUCUGCUGACUUACUGAAAGGCAAAAAGCUAUGUAAAUGUUCUCUCUAAAUGAAGAAUGCAAUGAUGUUAAUGUUGUGUUAUAAGGGUUGAUAGUUUAAUAUUAAACCAUUUCAUUUUCCUUUCACUCUCACAUCUUUAUUGAGUUUAACUAUUUAAGAAAGCUAUGAUAAGAUGUGAUUGUAAACAUAUUUUUGCUCUUUUUCCCACUUCCAUUUUGUCUGUUUGUUUAUUUUAUUCAGUUGUUAUGCAUAAAAUCCUCACAAACAAAUAUCUUAUUGCAUUUCAUUACUACACAAGGACAUAAUAUACUGCCACCUCCUGGGUAUGGUGUAAACUAAUGGAAGUACUGGAAUUAAGUCCCGUUUACUGUGCAUCCACUGGAUGGCAGACUUCUUACAGGGUAGUACUGCACCAGAAUUACAAUCAGUAUAAAUAAAUAAUUUACUGCCAUAAAAAAACUACAAGUAGGGUGAAACACCAGUUUCUCUGUGAAAUGUUGAGCAUUAUUCCUGUCUUUUAACAAACACCAUAUUUCACAUAUUCCUCCAAAAUGUGGACAAGAAAAUCCACAAAGGUGCUUCAAGUAGGCUCCUGUUCCAUUGCAGUUUUUGUGAUCUGUCUCAAAAUAAUAAUCAGUUGUUUAAAAUAAUUAGUGGAAUUAUUCCUAAUGAUCAAAAUAUAUACUAAAAGAUCCAUUCCAACUGCAUGUUUAAAUGAUAAGCCUAGUAUAAAAGAAAAUCUGUUUGAAUUGACUAUCAAUCACAGCGUUAGUUUGGUCAUGACAAAAAGUCAUCCUAAGCAAACCUUGGCAAAUCUCAGUGCCAGAAUACAUCAGCUGAUGGCUGAGCUGAUACUCUUUAAUACACAAAAUUGGAAAAUUUCAUGUAGUCUGUCUACAUUUACUGAACAUCUGCAAGUGGUUUUGCAAACCACCCCAUCCCAGCUCUCUUCUCUGCAUAACAUAAUCAAUGCCAUAUCUGUUGUUAUUGAUGUACUGUUUUGUAUGGAUUGAAGGGGUUUGGGUGGGCAGUGGGGGGAAACCUUUUUUCUGUUACAGUGUAGACACACUAUUAAGCCUAAGCACUAUUAAGGCUUAAAUGAAGGAGGGUUUUUGUUGGUGUGCUCUGCUGGCAGGCGACCAGGGGCAGCAUAACAUAACCCUCCUAUUGGGCCUCCAGACAGACCUUUCUCCGAAAUGUCAUGAAAGGUGUGACAAAGGUGAAGAGUGAGUCAGGACAUUCUGCCUGUCUUAAUCACCACCAACAAACAAAUCACAAGAAAGUGUGAAAAGAAAAGAAAAAAAGGUAUCUUGUGUGUUUAAAAGCCAGUCAUACUUGCCUUUAAGCUGUCUGCUUUCUUACUGAGUCAUUUUUUAAGUUCAAUGGAUACAUAUUGCCAAGAACAAUUUAUUCAUGUGUCCCCUCAAAUGAUCUUAUUUAUGAAUGGAUAUUAGUCAAAUAUAUCAAACAGGACCACACAGGACAAAGGGGAUGAUUUCCCUAAAUCAGAUUUUUUAAAUCUCUCUUUUUCCAUUACAUAUAAUCAUGAGAUCAAAUGAUUAUUUGCUGUAGGGUUUUCAAUACUAAAAUUAUGGCAAGAGCUCACUGUAAAUAAUAAAUAUUAUAAAAUAAAGCAUUGUUUUUGUUUAUGUACAUUUUACAUGUUUUGUUAUAUCAUAUUAUAAUAAAAUUACUUACUUAUUCUCUA